CUGCUGAUGUCACCAAAGGUAGAACUACAGGACGUGUUGGGCCACUUCCUCCUUAGGUCCCUGCAGCACAUGGUGGGAAAGGAACCCCACUGGCUCCACUCACCCAGUUUGCACGCGGAGGCACGCUGACCUGGGGGAAGAACAUGGGACAAAGACUAAUGCCGAGGGCCAAAGAACCAAAUUCAACCCGGCCUCUCAGAUGAAGAGAUAAGUGCACUUUAACUAUAACGACAGUGAGCUGGCCUGGAGGGCAGCUGACGUAACAUCGGCCGCUGUGCGAAUACAAGCCCUCCUUGCAUUUUGUGCAAAAAUUGCGAUUGAAA